rnacentral:rRNA from 1 species
AACAUGACGGUACCCUCAGAGGAAGCCACGGCUAACUACGUGCCAGCAGCCGCGGUAAUACGUAGGUAGCGAGCGUUAUUCGGAUUUACUGGGCGUAAAGGGUCCGCAGGGGGUUUGCCGAGUCCGAUGUGAAAGUCCGCAGCUCAACUGCGGAACUGCGUCGGAUACUGGUGAACUUGAGUGCGCGAAGGGCGAGCGGAAUUCCAGGUGUAGCGGUGGAAUGCGUAGAUAUCGGGAGGAACACCAGUGGCGAAGGCGGCUUUCUGGUCCGGAAUUGACGCUGAUGUACUAAAGCGUGGGUAGCAAACAGGAUUAGAUACCCUGGUAGUCCACGCCCUAAACGAUGUAUACUUGAUGUCGGGAUGUUCGGUCGUCUCGGUGUCGUAGCUAACGUGUUAAGUAUACCGCCUGGGGACUACAGUCGCAAGACUGAAACUCAAAGGAAUUGACGGGGGCCCGCACCAGCGGUGGAACAUGUGGUUUAAUUCGAUGCAACGCGAAGAACCUUACCUGGGCUUGACAUAUGUAUGAAGUAUGUAAGAAAUUAUGUAUUCUGUCUGAUUUUUCAGACAGCAUAUAUACAGGUGAUGCAUGGCUGUCGUCAGCUCGUGUCGUGAGAUGUAGGGUUAAGUCCCUUAACGAGCGCAACCCUUACUUUUAGUUGCCAUCAGGUAAAGCUGGGGACUCUAGAAGGACUGCCGAGGUUAACUCGGAGGAAGGUGGGGAUGACGUCAAGUCAGUAUGUCCCUUAUGUCCAGGGCUACACACGUGUUACAAUGGCCGGUACAGAGUGCCGCGAAGCCGCGAGGUGAAGCAAAUCACUCAAAGCCGGUCCCAGUUCGGAUUGGAGUCUGCAAUUCGACUCCAUGAAGUUGGAAUCGCUAGUAAUCGCAGAACAGCACGCUGCGGUGAAUACGUUCCCGGGCCUUGUACACACCGCCCGUCACGCCAUGGAAGUUGGGAGCACCCAAAGUUGCUGUCUAUACGGUGGAGGUAACUAAGGUGAGACCGAUGACUGGGGCGAAGUCGU